rnacentral:rRNA from 1 species
GAUGAACGCUGGCGGCGUGCUUAACACAUGCAAGUCGAACGGAAAGGCCCAAGCUUGCUUGGGUACUCGAGUGGCGAACGGGUGAGUAACACGUGGGUGAUCUGCCCUGCACUUCGGGAUAAGCCUGGGAAACUGGGUCUAAUACCGGAUAGGACCACUUCUUGGAUGUUGUGGUGGAAAGUUUUUUCGGUGUGGGAUGAGCUCGCGGCCUAUCAGCUUGUUGGUGGGGUAAUGGCCUACCAAGGCGUCGACGGGUAGCCGGCCUGAGAGGGUGUACGGCCACAUUGGGACUGAGAUACGGCCCAGACUCCUACGGGAGGCAACAGUGGGGAAUAUUGCACAAUGGGCGCAAGCCUGAUGCAGCGACGCCGCGUGGGGGAUGACGGCCUUCGGGUUGUAAACUCCUUUCGCUAGGGACGAAGCGUUUUGUGACGGUACCUGGAGAAGAAGCACCGGCUAACUACGUG